rnacentral:tRNA from 1 species
CUAAAAAUAGAUUAAACAAAUCAUUUCUCCCGGGAAGAAAAAAUACAAGAAAUCUUGUUCUUUAAU